AUUGAACGCUGGCGGCAGGCCUAACACAUGCAAGUCGAGCGGAUGAAGGGAGCUUGCUCCUGGAUUCAGCGGCGGACGGGUGAGUAAUGCCUAGGAAUCUGCCUGGUAGUGGGGGAUAACGUCCUGAAACGGGCGCUAAUACCGCAUACGUCCUGAGGGAGAAAGUGGGGGAGCUUCGGGCCUCACGCUAUCAGAUGAGCCUAGGUCGGAUUAGCUAGUUGGUGGGGUAAAGGCCUACCAAGGCGACGAUCCGUAACUGGUCUGAGAGGAUGAUCAGUCACACUGGAACUGAGACACGGUCCAGACUCCUACGGGAGGCAGCAGCGGGGAAUAUUGGACAAUGGGCGAAAGCCUGAUCCAGCCAUGCCGCGUGUGUGAAGAAGGUCUUCGGAUUGUAAAGCACUUUAAGUUGGGAGGAAGGGCAGUAAGUUAAUACCUUGCUGUUUUGACGUUACCAACAGAAUAAGCACCGGCUAACUUCGUG
rnacentral:rRNA from 1 species